rnacentral:tRNA from 1 species
NUACGGACUUAAAAUCCGUCGACUUUAAAAAUCGUGAGGGUUCAAGUCCUUGGUUCAAGUCCCUCUAUCCCCA